rnacentral:rRNA from 1 species
UGGGGAAUUUUGGACAAUGGGGGCAACCCUGAUCCAGCCAUGCCGCGUGCGGGAAGAAGGCCUUCGGGUUGUAAACCGCUUUCGGCCGGGACGAAAUCGCUUUCCUGAACAAGGGGGGUGGAUGACGGUACCGGAAGCAGAAGCACCGGCUAACUACGUGCCAGCAGCCGCGGUAAUACGUAGGGUGCGAGCGUUAAUCGGAAUUACUGGGCGUAAAGCGUGCGCAGGCGGCCCUCUAAGACAGGUGUG